CCUGGCUCAGAACGAACGCUGGCGGCAUGCUUAACACAUGCAAGUCGAACGAGAUCUUCGGAUCUAGUGGCGCACGGGUGCGUAACGCGUGGGGAUCUACCAAAGGGUACGGAAUAACUCAGAGAAAUUUGUGCUAAUACCGUAUAAUGUCGCAAGACCAAAGAUUUAUCGCCCUUUGAUGAACCCGCGUAAGAUUAGCUUGUUGGUGAGGUAAAGGCUCACCAAGGCGACGAUCUUUAGCUGGUCUGAGAGGAUGAUCAGCCACACUGGGACUGAGACACGGCCCA
rnacentral:rRNA from 1 species